GGAUACGGUCAUACCAGCACUAAAGCACCGGAUCCCAUCAGAACUCCGAACUUAAGCGUGCUUGGGCGAGAGUAGGACGAGGAUGGGUGACCUCCUGGGAAGUCCUCGUGUUGCAUUCU
rnacentral:rRNA from 1 species